rnacentral:miRNA from 1 species
GAGGGCUGCCCGAGCGCAUGUGGCUGAGUGUUGCCCUUGGUGCCCAGCACAGGCAGCUCGGACUGAAACCCUC